UUACGGCCAUAGCACGUUGAAACAGCGGUUCUCAUCCGAUCACUGAGGUUAAGCAAUGUUGAACCUGGUAAGUAUCCUAGAUGGGUGACUGCUAGUGAGUACCAGGUACUGUAAG